rnacentral:rRNA from 1 species
UAACUGAGCGUUCAGUUACUUGACGUAGACCCGAAACCGGGCGACCUACCCAUGAGCAGGAUGAAGCGAAAGUAAAAUUUCGUGGAGGUCCGAACCCACGAGCGUAUAAAAGCUCGGGGAUGACUUGUGGGUAGCGGUGAAAUUCCAAUCGAGCCCGGAGAUAGCUGGUUCUCCCCGAAAUAGCUUUAGGGCUAGCCUCAAGGUGAGAGAUACGGAGGUAGAGCACUGAAUGUCCUAGGGGGUAUUGCACCUACCGAAGACUAUCAAACUCCGAAUGCCGUCAUCUUAUACUUGGGAGUCAGACUGUGGGUGAUAAGAUUCAUAGUCGAAAGGGCAACAGCCCAGAUCGUCAGCUAAGGUCCCUAAAUGUAAGUUAAGUGGUAAAGGAUGUGGGAUUGCAAAGACAACCAGGAUGUUGGCUUAGAAGCAGCCACUCAUUCAAAGAGUGCGUAAUAGCUCACUGGUCGAGUGAUCCUGCGCCGAAGAUUUCCGGGGCUAAAACUUACUACCGAAGCUACGGCAUCAGUAAUGAUGGGUAGGGGAGCUUCCCAUACGGGUUGAAGCAUGACCGUAAGGACAUGUGGACAGUAUGGGAGUGAGAAUGUUGGCAUGAGUAGCGAGAUGUGGGUGAGAAUCCCACAGGCCGUAAACCCAAGGUUUCCAGGGGAAGGUUCGUCCGCCCUGGGUUAGUCGGGACCUAAGCUGAGGCCGAAAGGCGUAGGUGAUGGACAACAGGUUGAUAUUCCUGUACUACCGAU